AUUACAUCCGUGUAAGCUGACACUCAGAAGGGUGAAGGGUCUUGCUAGGGUCACACAGCCGAUAAACAGCAGCACCAGGAUUCAAACCUAGGAGCCUCUAACUCCAGAGCCUUCGCCCCAUCCCAUAGGGCCUCCCUAAAGCCCUACUGCACAGCCCUUUCUAUGGGGACACAGGUUCUUCCCUGCGACUUAAAUAGGCUACCCUCCUGCUCACUUCAUUCAUUCACUCCCACAGUCAUCAGGUGAGGCUCCCACUUUGAGCCAUGGCCUGCGUAAGAGGAAGGGACCUCCUCGAAGGCAGGGACUACAUCAUUUCUGUUCACUGUGAUAUCCCCAGCACCUGGUACGUUACCCAGCACGUAACUGGUGCUCGGUGAAUACUUGUUGAAUGAAUGAAUCAGUGCAAGGAUGGAGGGGGCCCCUCCCUGUAUACCAUCUGAAGGGGAUGUGGAGGCGUUGGAAAGAAGCAAUAGCUGAUUCCGUGUGCAUGGUCCUGGAGCCAUGGGGUAGGGUGGGUGGCAAUGUUGUUUGUGGUAGUGGUUAAUGUUUAAUACCCAUCUGAGCCACCAGGCCAGGCCUGAAUUUCCACAUGGGACACAGAGAUUCUUUAUUCCCCUCAGAGUAGCAGACUUUGGAGUCAGAGGAGCUCAGGGUUCACAUUCCAGCUCUGUGGGCUUACGGGUUAAUCUCCCGGAGCCUGUUUCCUUCUCUGCAAGGUGGGGAUAUAGCGACCACCUUGCAGGCUUGUAAGGGUUAGACGGGUAACAUUAGGCAUGUUCCUUCCAUGUGUUAGCACUCGCUCAAGGUUACUUCUCCAGCUCAAAGCUGUUUAAGACUCAGGUGACUCAUGAAAUUGGACAGAACCUCAAAAGACAAAGAGAUAACACGAACAUCAAGGAGAACCCAGAAGGGGCACUAUCAAAGGGGAGGCAGGGGCCCCAGUGGCCUCACAGCUGAGCAGCAGCGGGGGUGAGUGGCUCACACCUGUCCCAGGGUGCUGGGGGUGACCAGUUAGAUGCACAUGUGGGAGUCUCUGCUCCUUUAACUACCUGCUGCCAAGCGGAAGGAGAAGGCUAGGCACCGGGACCGGGCACUCCCAUCCAACCCUUUGUGCCAAUUCUCAUCUGCCCUGGGGUGGUCGUGGGAAGGAGAGGGGUGGGGAGGGGCAUGGCUUACCAGCCACCUCCACACCAUGUUCCCCACCAUCCUGAAAGAGAAUCCCCCUUAACUUAGCAAAAAUAAGUGUGAACUUUUGCUCAAGUGAGCUUUUCUAUUAAACCAACAAAACAAGGGCAGGCCCAGUGGCAUAGCGGUUAAGUUCGCAUGCUUGCUUUGGGCGCCCAGGGUUCACCAGUUCAAAUCCUGGGCGUGGAUCUGCACACUGCUCAAAAGCCAUGCUGACGUGGCGUCCCACAUAGAAGAACUAGAAGGACCUACAACUAGAAUAUACAACUAUGUACUGGGGCUGCGGGGAGAAAAAGAAAAAGAGGAAGGUUGGUAACAGAUGUUAGCUCAGGGCCAACCUUCCUCACCAAAAAGCAUAUAAAAAACCCCACAAACCAACAAAACAAAGGAAAGUUGCUUAGGAACAGAUUCAUGCUGACUCAGAUUCCUGUCUCCACCUCGCCAGGCCAGCACUCAUUGCUGGUCACCAAACCCAUCCUGGCUCUUUCCUCCAAGACUCUCUGCAAGGCCGGCACCCUAUCAACAAGCUGCCUGACCUGGAUUCCUGGCUUUCUCCCCCAGCCAUCUGCCAGCAUGGACAUGAGGACUGCUGAUGCCUCCCGUUCCGGCCUCUCCCUCCAGCUCCCUUCCUCAUCCCACCUCCGGCUUCCCAGUCCUCCAAGAAUCAAAAGCCCUUGGAUUUAA